GGGGUUGUAGCUCAGUGUAGAGUGCACACCUGGCAAGUGUGAGGCACUGGGUUUGAUCCUCAGCACCA
rnacentral:tRNA from 1 species